AGAGACAAAUAAAGACUUCAUUCACUCGUUGGGGAGUUUGCGCGACAGUGUGUACAAGAUUUAAUCGUACUGGCCUGCAAAAUCCCAAAUGGAGUGGAAACGUUCUCAGCAGUGUAAUG
rnacentral:precursor_RNA from 10 species